rnacentral:rRNA from 1 species
CACGUAGGGCGCGAGCGUUGUCCGGAAUUAUUGGGCGUAAAGAGCUCGUAGGCGGCCUGUUGCGUCCGCUGUGAAAGCCCGGGGCUUAACCCCGGGUCGGCAGUGGAUACGGGCAGGCUAGAGGUAGGUAGGGGAGAAUGGAAUUCCCGGUGUAGCGGUGAAAUGCGCAGAUAUCGGGAGGAACACCGGUGGCGAAGGCGGUUGCCUGGGGCUUUGCUGACGCUGAUGCGCGAAAGCGUGGGGAGCGAUCCGG